rnacentral:tRNA from 1 species
UCCGGGAGUGGUCCGGCGCCGGGGCCGACGGCCCCCUGUUGUCGGGGGAAACUCGGCCCACUCGGGUCCGAGUCCCGCCGUCCGGAG